rnacentral:misc_RNA from 1 species
UCUCCGUUGGUGAACCAGCGGAGGGAUCAUUACCGAGUUUACAACUCCCAAACCCCUGUGAACAUACCAUUUGUUGCCUCGGCGGUGCCUGCUUCGGCAGCCCGCCAGAGGACCCAAACCCUUGAUUUUUUACAGUAUCUUCUGAGUAAAUGAUUAAAUAAAUCAAAACUUUCAACAACGGAUCUCUUGGUUCUG